UACGUAGGGUGCGAGCGUUGUCCGGAAUUAUUGGGCGUAAAGAGCUCGUAGGCGGUCUGUCGCGUCUGCUGUGAAAUCCCGAGGCUCAACCUCGGGCUUGCAGUGGGUACGGGCAGGCUAGAGUGCGGUAGGGGAGAAUGGAACUCCUGGUGUAGCGGUGAAAUGCGUAGAUAUCAAGAGGAACACCUGAGGUGAAGACGGGUUGCUGGGCCGACACUGACGCUGAGUGCGCGAAAGCCAGGGGAGCAAACGGG
rnacentral:rRNA from 1 species